AACGAACGCUGGCGGCGUGGAUAAGACAUGCAAGUCGAACGGAUAACUUGGUAGCAAUAUUAAGUUAUUUAGUGGCGAACGGGUGCGUAACACGUGGAUUACUUCCGGGAAGUGGGGAAUAGCCCAGGGAAACUUGGAUUAAUGCCCCAUGUGAUCGCAAGUCAAAGGCGCAAGCGCCUUCCUGAUUGGUCCGCGGCCUAUCAGCUUGUUGGUGAGGUAAGGCUCACCAAGGCUACGACGGGUAGCUGGUCUAAGAGGACGACCAGCCACACUGGAACUAGACACGGUCCAGACACCUACGGGUGGCAGCAGUCGAGAAUCUUUCACAAUGGGGGAAACCUGAUGGAGCGACGCCGCGUGGAGGAUAAGGUCUUCGGAUUGUAAACUCCUGUCAUGCAGAACAAAGCCCGCAAGGCUGAUAGUAUCGCAAGAGGAAGAGACGGCUAACUCUGUGCCGCAGCCGCGGUAAUACAGGGGUCUCAAGCGUUGUUCGGAAUCACUGGGCGUAAAGGGUGGUAGGCGGCGGGGGAAGUCAGAUGUGAAAUC
rnacentral:rRNA from 1 species